rnacentral:rRNA from 1 species
UACGUAGGGUGCAAGCGUUAAUCGGAAUUACUGGGCGUAAAGCGUGCGCAGGCGGUUUUGUAAGUCAGAUGUGAAAUCCCCCGGGCUUAACCUGGGAACUGCGUUUGAAACUACAAGGCUAGAGUGUGGCAGAGGGGGGGUGGAAUUCCACGUGUAGCAGUGAAAUGCGUAGAGAUGUGGAGGAACACCAGUGGCGAAGGCGGCCCCCUGGGCCGUUCCUGACGCUGAGGUGCGAAAGCGUGGGGAGCAAACAGGG